CGAGUUCUGAUUAUUGAAAGGUGCUUGCAUCUUGAUUUAAUUUUGAACGAGUGGCGGACGGGUGAGUAACACGUGGGUAACCUGCCCUUAAGUGGGGGAUAACAUUUGGAAACAGAUGCUAAUACCGCAUAAAUCCAAGAACCGCAUGGUUCUUGGCUGAAAGAUGGCGUAAGCUAUCGCUUUUGGAUGGACCCGCGGCGUAUUAGCUAGUUGGUGAGGUAACGGCUCACCAAGGCAAUGAUACGUAGCCGAACUGAGAGGUUGAUCGGCCACAUUGGGACUGAGACACGGCCCAAACUCCUACGGGAGGCAGCAGUAGGGAAUCUUCCACAAUGGACGCAAGUCUGAUGGAGCAACGCCGCGUGAGUGAAGAAGGCUUUCGGGUCGUAAAACUCUGUUGUUGGAGAAGAAUGGUCGGCAGAGUAACUGUUGUCGGCGUGACGGUAUCCAACCAGAAAGCCACGGCUAACUACGUGCCAGCAGCCGCGGUAAUACGUAGGUGGCAAGCGUUAUCCGGAUUUAUUGGGCGUAAAGCGAGCGCAGGCGGUUUUUUAAGUCUGAUGUGAAAGCCCUCGGCUUAACCGAGGAAGUGCAUCGGAAACUGGGAAACUUGAGUGCAGAAGAGGACAGUGGAACUCCAUGUGUAGCGGUGAAAUGCGUAGAUAUAUGGAAGAACACCAGUGGCGAAGGCGGCUGUCUGGUCUGUAACUGACGCUGAGGCUCGAAAGCAUGGGUAGCGAACAGGAUUAGAUACCCUGGUAGUCCAUGCCGUAAACGAUGAAUGCUAGGUGUUGGAGGGUUUCCGCCCUUCAGUGCCGCAGCUAACGCAUUAAGCAUUCCGCCUGGGGAGUACGACCGCAAGGUUGAAACUCAAAGGAAUUGACGGGGGCCCGCACAAGCGGUGGAGCAUGUGGUUUAAUUCGAAGCAACGCGAAGAACCUUACCAGGUCUUGACAUCUUUUGAUCACCUGAGAGAUCAGGUUUCCCCUUCGGGGGCAAAAUGACAGGUGGUGCAUGGUUGUCGUCAGCUCGUGUCGUGAGAUGUUGGGUUAAGUCCCGCAACGAGCGCAACCCUUAUGACUAGUUGCCAGCAUUUAGUUGGGCACUCUAGUAAGACUGCCGGUGACAAACCGGAGGAAGGUGGGGAUGACGUCAAAUCAUCAUGCCCCUUAUGACCUGGGCUACACACGUGCUACAAUGGAUGGUACAACGAGUUGCGAGACCGCGAGGUCAAGCUAAUCUCUUAAAGCCAUUCUCAGUUCGGACUGUAGGCUGCAACUCGCCUACACGAAGUCGGAAUCGCUAGUAAUCGCGGAUCAGCACGCCGCGGUGAAUACGUUCCCGGGCCUUGUACACACCGCCCGUCACACCAUGAGAGUUUGUAACACCCGAAGCCGGUGGCGUAACC
rnacentral:rRNA from 1 species